GGAGGAUUCAAGCGUUAUCCGGAUUUAUUGGGUUUAAAGGGUGCGUAGGCGGUUUGAUAAGUUAGAGGUGAAAUCCCGGGGCUUAACUCCGGAACUGCCUCUAAUACUGUUAGACUAGAGAGUAGUUGCGGUAGGCGGAAUGUAUGGUGUAGCGGUGAAAUGCUUAGAGAUCAUACAGAACACCGAUUGCGAAGGCAGCUUACCAAACUAUAUCUGACGUUGAGGCACGAAAGCGUGGGGAGCAAACAGGAUUAGAUACCCUGGUAGUCCACGCAGUAAACGAUGAUAACUCGUUGUCGGCGAUACACAGUCGGUGACUAAGCGAAAGCGAUAAGUUAUCCACCUGGGGAGUACGUUCGCAAGAAUGAAACUCAAAGG
rnacentral:rRNA from 1 species